rnacentral:hammerhead_ribozyme from 1 species
AUCCAGUCGAAGAGCCUCAAAUAGGACGAAACGCACUUCCUGGAU